rnacentral:rRNA from 1 species
UCUGCUCAAUGAUUUUUUAAAUUGCUGUGGUAUUUUGACUAUACAAAGGUAUUGUAAUAAGACUUUAAUUGAGUGCUAAGAGAAUGGAAUUUCAGGAAAAAUCUUUUUUUAAAUUAAAAAUAGAAGUUAUUUUUAUUUGUGAAGAAACAAUAAUGUAAAUUUAGGACAAGAAGACCCUAUGAAUUUUUAUAUCUUUUAUAAAUUUAGGUGAAUAAAAGAUAUUUAAUUGGGGCGAUUAUAAAAUAUUUGUAACUUUUAUAAAGUAAAGUUGAUCCAUUAUUAAUGAUAAAAUGAAUAAAUACUCUAGGGAUAACAGCGUAAA